CUUGACUUUCUUUUUAUUAACUUAUAAUUGAUAUAGUAUCUGAAAAAAGUUUAAACAAUUUUACCGGAAUUUAAACAACAAUUUCUCAUUAUAACAUUCACACAGUUAUCAUGUUUAAUAAUUACGAGUGUCUAUUCUGAAGAAUUGAUUAGCUCUAAUACAAAAUACACAAAUAAAUAAAUAAUGCAACAAAAGCUUUCAUCAUUAAUUACAUGAUUACAGUUUGGAAGAUAAUGACGAAAUAAAGUUGGUUGGGACCAAAGAAAAAAUGGAAAGAAAGGAAGCAGUUUGGUUGUGUUUAUGGAAGGAUUGUGGGAUUUAAUAUGUUACUGGAUCUUUUCCUUUCUGUGGAUUGUGCGCUGUUUUUGUUAGCAGAGGAGUGUCUGUGUGUUUGGUUGUUGUGGUUUGAUUUGUUUGUGGAUGACGUGGUCUUCCUCCGUUGUGUUUUGUUGUGGCGAGUAGAAGAGGAGUGGGUCUCCUUUGGGUGAUGGUUAUAGAAAAUUCCAUGGUAGAGUUGGAUGAGGAAGGUGCAGGAAGAGGUAUUGAAAUGAGAGUGAAUUGAAUGCAGAAGAUGAAGAUGAAGAUGGUGGCAGUAGGAGAGAAGAGAAGAGAAGUUUAUGAUAUUGGUUGAUGGAAAGUGGGAAUUUAUAGGAAAAAAUAGAGACCAAUGGAAGAAAAGUAUAACAUAUGUAUGACUGUUGGAACUUGUCAAACGAUGGAACCAGUCUCUCUAUAUUUCUAAUUCUACGGAUUCAAGGUCCGAUCAAGUGCCCAUGACUCACCAUAAGGAGUUCACAUUCACUAUUUAUUUCCAAAUUUCCUUAUUUUCUUUAUUCUUUAAAAUGCUUAUAUUUAUAAUAUAUAUAUAUUUAUAUAUAUUAUAAAUAUAUAUAUAUAUAUAUAUAUAUAUUGAUAACUAAUAACAUUUUUAAGAGACUACACUCUUUUCAAAUUAUUCAAAGAAAAUAAUAUUAUUUAUGACAGUAAUAUAAAGAAUUUAAAUCUCAAAAUCAUUAAAGUUUAAGAAAAUUUUGACAGAAUAAGAUUAUGAAAAUCUGUUUUAUUAAUAAAAAAUUAUUUAAAUAAAUAAUUUAAAUGUUUCUUGAUAAAAUUUCGAUUCAAAAAUAUUAUUGAUAUUUCUACCAAUUCAAGAUACAUAGUAUAAACUUAACUCAUAAAACUUAUUAAAAACAUCUUUUUGAGAAUAUUGAAAAUGGCAAAUUCUUCCUUCACCCUCGUGCGUUUCUCCUUCCGGACUUCAGAUUUUAAAAUUUUUUAAAUAACUUUAAAUAAAACAUAUUCUCAUAUUUUUAAAUAAUCUUAGUUGCACUCCGCAUUACAUAUCUUCCUUCCAACAACAUAUCUUCAUUCUAAUUGCAACACUUAUAUUUUUCUCCAACCGCAACAUUUGAGAGAACAAUUUCAUCAUUUGACCGUAUGUGAGUCGGUUGACGAAAAGAUUCAUUGUAUUCAACGUUCCCCAAUGUGAAGAUAUUUGUUUUUAGUUGUGUGCUCCAUAUUUUGCACCGGACUGGGAUUUUUUUUCCUGAUUUCUGUGACUUUUGGAAGAAUGACUAUUGUACUGGAAGGAGUGCUCGGGACCUCGGUCCAACCAUUUGGGUAUGGUCGGCUCGGCUUUGGGCCGAAAAGGAGUGUCAUGAGCUCGGCCCAGUUUUAAUGGUAAACAUGGUAAAGAAUAAUUAAAGUAUAGAAAAUAUUGAGUUGAAUAUAUAUGUUAAUAUAUUUAAAGUUGUUAGUCAAAUAUAUAUGUUAAUAUGUGUAAAAGUUGUUAGAAUAUAUGUAUAAAGUCGUUAGUUAAAUGAGUAAAGUUGUUAAUUACAUAGCUAGUACCCGUGAAUAAAGGUGCAUGAGACUCUCUUCUGUUGUUAGCAUCGUGAGAGAAGGUGCCCAUAGACAGAAUAUAUUUCUGGUAUAUAUGCUUCCAGUUAAGAUUAUAUUCUCGUGGGUGAAAGUUGUUAAAGGGAUAACUAUAAAAUGGGUUUGAGACCCCUAGUAAAGAUAUGUUGUUUCUGAUUACUUUAGACUGAAACUGAUUACUAAUUUUGUAUGUUAUCACUGACUUGAUCAUCGGAGUGUGAUCAAUAGGUAGAUCAUCCUCUGUUUUAGUGGAGCGUUGUUCUAGUGUACCAAGAGCAGAUAGGCUAGAAGCGGAGCUCUCCAUUCAGUCCAACCGAAGGUCAACUGGCGAAAUCAUUUGGCGCCCACCAUGGGGUACGAUAAAACUUGAUCCUAUUCGCAUUCGUAAUUGAGUUUUCUGACGUGAUGAGAAACACAAGGCAAGGCCCGCAGAGAUUUGAAGGAGGCGAUGCCCCCGUUUUACAGCAACUCAUGGAUGCCAUGAGGGCCCUCCAAGAGGCCAACGAGGAGAACAUAUGAGAGCAAGAACGAAUCAAAGAAGAAGCCAAGCCUGAGCAAAAGAGGCUAGGAAAGCCCAAGCUGAGCAGGAGAGGUUAGGAGCGGAAGCCCGAGCUGAGCAAGAGCUUCUGCAGAGGAACGGAUGCCAUCCAAUGUAAAAUGUUCAUGGGCACUUUUACAAGUACAAUCCUACAAUGGUUCACCGGGAUCCCUGAUGGUUAGGUCAUCUCUUUCUCUCAGUUUUCCUUGAUGCUUAGAGAGUAGUUCUCCCCCAACAAGGUCAAACCCCCAAGGAUAUAUGACCUCUUUGGCGUAAGGCAAAGGGAGGGAGAGUCAUUGAAGGAUUACUUGAAUAAGUUCAAUGCGCUUACGGUAAGACUCCAAACACAUGAUGAAGAUAUGAUGAUUGCCGAAGAGAUCGCGACUCAUUAAUCAUAAAUCCAGCAGAGACAUUUUCCGAGGUACGAGAAUGAGAUGUCACUCACAUCAAAGCUGAGGAGGUCGUGGUCAGAAAGAAUGACAGCUUGAAUUUAAGGCAAGUUAGACCUAAGGAAAGCGAUCGAGCUCGACCCUUGAGUCAGCGAAACAUCAGUCGAGAAGAGAACGAACUUGAGGUACGUGCCAUACGUAGCCAAGAGAAAUGAGCCCAAGACAAAGGCCAAGGAGAAGUUAGCCAAGGGUAGCUGAAAAAUUGUGAAAUUUUCAUUUAAGAAAAAUGUAGCAGGUAACUUUUAAUGAAAACACAUGUAAUGAGUUAAAAAAUCCAUGCAACUUUUUUUCCCAUUUAAAUUGUGUACAUAUNNNNNNNNNNNNNNNNNNNNNNNNNNNNNNNNNNNNNNNNNNNNNNNNNNNNNNNNNNNNNNNNNNNNNNNNNNNNNNNNNNNNNNNNNNNNNNNNNNNNAUUAUUAUUAUAUAUAUAUAUAUAUAUAUAUAUAUAUAUAUAUAUAUAUAUAUAUAUAUAUAUAUAUUCUGCACGAUUGACACUCUGACUUAGUACAAACCGACCGACACAACCAAAACCAUUACACUUAAAUAAGAUUAAUGAGACUAAUCAGUGAUCAAGCAUUAGGUAAUGCACUCCUAAUCAUGACCCAACUUCCUAAUCCACCCAAUAACAACAGGCCCAUGAUAAAUGUUCUUGUCAGUUGACCUGGAGCGCUUUCGUACGCCUACGUCACUCUCAUGUACAAAAUCUCUACGUUUGCACGUGCCUUUCCUAUGAUGAAUGCUUGAAAACAAAAAGACAAAGUUUGCACUCCGACCGAUGUUUGACCACUCUUUAGUUCCUUGGCGCACGUGCUUCGCGAGAUACUGGCCCACGCCGCUCGUGGGACCCUGCUUACGUGGCACCAAUUGUACUAGUGGUCAGCGACACCCGAGGACUGGUCGAUACAAUAAACAACGAUUCUUUCUUCAUCUUGCAUUCUCGAAUCUAAAUCAACCAUUGCAAUCAAAUUUUGUUCGUCCUCUCUUCUUCUCGGUAUUCUUAGUUCUUAAACUAUUUUAAGGCUUGCCAUAUAACAUUCCCUUAUUGCUCAUUGAUAAACAUAAAUGGUUGCAAUUUCUCCCUUUCAGUUGGAAACUUCAUAGCUAAAUGUGGUGUUGACACUAUAGCUCCUAACUUGUUUAAUGAAGACCUCCCCAACAAAGCAUUGUACGAAGUGCAUGCAUCCACAAAUAAGUAUCUAAUUUUAAUUUUCUUUGUCACAUUUCCCAUUGCAUACGUAGUUUUCAAAUCUAUAUAUCCCCUUACAUUUACCCUCACAACCAAGAACCCAAUUAUUUGCUCUCGGUGUGAUAUAAUAUCUUUUUCCCUCAAAUUGAGUUUCUGAAAUGUCUCCCAAAAGAGAAUAUCAACAGAACUUGCUUGAUCUACCAAAGUCUUCAUAAUCGCAUACUUUGCUAUCUCCACCGUAAUCACCAUGGGGUUAUCUUGUUCUGGAUGAAUUGCUUGAAAGUCUUUGUUAGUGAACAUAAUUGGUGGCAUAGUUCUCUUUUUAAAAAUAGAAUUUAUUGUCGUAACGUUUCUCAAAUUCUUCUUUCUGGAAAAUGAGGAUACUCCUCCUCCAGCAAACCCUCCUGAAAUUGUGUUAAUAAAUCCACUAACAGGUCUGCCUAAACUUCGUUCUCAGCUUCUUCACCUUUGAGAACUUUGAUGGUUCCUCUAUUCUUUUCGUUCAACCCUUUCCUCCCUUAUGUCGUCCCUUGUAUCAUACCUUUCUUCUCUUCUAUUCCCGUACCUCCUUUCCUUCUGCUCUGGAAUUUUUCCCCUUCUCGAAACUCCCCCAUCUCUUACAAAAAGCCUUAGCUAACUUAAACUAAUUCUUCUAUUCAACCUUUCAGUGUUAUACAUUCUUUUGUGUGGUGACCAUGGUUUCUGUGAUAUUGACAGUGUUUGCUUUGAUAAGUUCAUUCUGUUGUUCAUGCUUUUCUCGGUGCUGGUAUUAUCUCUAUUGUCAUUGUCUUUUGUAUCCAAGCUCGAUUAGUACUCAAAGAUGUGAAAUGUGGAAUUUUUUUUCUAUGAGGUCCUUCUCAAAGUCUUCUAUACUGCUAUCCUCAUUCUCUUUCACUAUGUUUCUUUUCAACUCCACCAUUUUCUCUUACUUAAUUUCGAAAAUCCCUCAACUCUUACAUUUGCAUAAACUUUGCUACAUGCUGUCUCAACUCUUCAAGAUUAGUAGUAGGUUUUUAACGAAGGCUAUCGACAAGAGGUCCUAGCCUUAAUUUCAUGAUCAUGUGAUGCAUUGUUACCGAUGGACUUAAGUUAUGUAUACUCAGUGCAACUUUUCCAAAAUGUUCCAUAAACAACCUAAGUGAUUCUCCUUUUUUAUGCCUUAUAUUAACUAAAUCAAUUGAAGUCAAAUGAUGUGGUCCACUUGUAGUAAAUUGAGCUCCAAACUUCUCAACAAGUGUAUUAAAACAGUCAAUAGAUAGUGGAGGUAAACGAGUAAACCAACUUAACACCGCUCCCUUCAAAGUUGUUGGAAAUACCCGACAUAUAAUGACAUCAUUCCAGGUAUACAAGCUUAUCUGUGUUGUGUAAAUAACUAUAUGUUCAUCAAGAUCCGUGCUUCCAUCAUACUUAUCCAUGGUUGGAUUUUCCAGUUCUCAGGCAAUAGAGUCUCUAUGAUUCCUUCCAAAUGAGGUGGUAUUUAAAAUUGUUUCUUCAUUCAACUUUUGUUUCAUAUACGCAUUUUUAGAUCUCAACAUACUCAGCUCUCCAUCAUUGUUUCUGUUUAGAGUUUCAAACUCCUUUUGCAAUUUCAUUAACAUAGCCAUUGACAUGGCGUUCGGGUUAUCUUCAUGUGCUUCUGCUUGGUCUUCCCUUCUACUUGUCAUCCUUCAAUUCAUCAAUUAAACUACUUCGGGCCCUACGGUAGGCACCAAAAUGUUCUUACAGGGCCUUUGAAGUAAAUAAAUUUUCUUCCUUUCCUCCUCACGACCUUCUAGUCUCUCGCUGAUAACUUGAGUUUUAUUACUGGAUCAAUUGACUUGGACUAUCUUUUGGUCAUAUGAUCUUGGGCUCACUCUUGACUACUGGACAUGGGCUCAUUCUCGGCUACUGGAUUUGGGCUCACUCUCGACCGCUGGAUGUACCUGUAAGGUGCUCUGAUGAUAAAGUCAUAAUCAAUUUAAUUAAGUUAUAUAAAAACACUUUACUUACCUGUUAAACAAAUCAUCUAUUUAUAGUGCUCAUUAUUAAACUUUAUUAAUUUAAUUAGGAUUUUACUUUUCACACCUUGGAUUUACUAAAUUUACUAAAUGUAUUUUGUAAUGUUUUUAACUUAUUCGUUGGAUGUUUACGUUAUUAACUUAUUUUAUUAUUUUUUUAUAUUAUUCUAGUUUUAUUAUUUUUUAAUACUCUAACGGCUUUUCGACCUCAAGGUGGAUUACACUAACUAUUAUGAAAGCAAAAUAUUAAUUUAAAGUGGAUCAUAUACAACAUUUCUGGUGGGACCAACUGAAAUUUUAAUUUUGCUGGAAGUGGAAAUCUCUAGUAUACCCUCAUGCAGAACUUAAGGCACUGUUAAUGACUACAAAAUUGUUAGACUUAGGAAUGAAACGAUAUGGGAGGAGAUGGAAUCAAAGUUCUCCAUAAUACUAAAUAACAACUUGAGAAGCUUUCGGCAAGAGAACUUAGUGAGAUUGAUUCCAGCAUAGUUUUUGAUUUAUAAUCUCAACCACCUUUACAAUUGUGACCAACAUCAUAAACAACUAGCCAUAUGAGUAAGCAUAAACUUCUGCAGCAUUCUACGUCCAGAUGCAUAUUCCGUUCCAGCAUACCAUCUCCUUACAAGCUCUCUACACACUGAUAAAAACAACCAACUAGUCCUUUGCAUCUCCAUCAGCACACAAGGUUAACGCAUAAAACCAUCUCCAAUGUUAGCAGAUCAUCAUCAGUUAGCAUCCUACUUCCUUGCAUUUGGAUCUACAUUUGGAUAAUGCUGUACCUUCAAAAACUUCAGAUCAAAGUUAGCUAAAUAGUGUUUCUGGCAGCUGACAUGUAAUUCUUCUUGCUCCUUAGCUAGUUCUUGUUUUAGACAGCCCCUUGACAGCAACAUCAGGAAGCCAGACAGCAUAGCAAGCAGGGCCACAUUUUUAAACCCCUAUAGUGUUGUCAUUGAUAACGCAAAUCCCCUCUGGAUCUCUUUUCCAGCGUGUUAAUUAGAUGCAUUGAUUUGGGUUCAAGUAGGUACUACUCUGGUAAAUGAUUCAUUUAAUAUUCAGUUAGAAACAUUUUUAAAUAGCUAAAUAGAAAUAAAAAAUACAAACCAACUGCCAAAAUAAAAUAAAAAUCAAUAAAUUUCACAACAAUCUAUAACAAUAAAUAUUUUAUAUUUUUCUUAUUUUACGAACUAAUUUUUUUCCUCCUCAAAUAUUCAAUGCGAUUAGAGCCUCAUUCUGAAGGCGUCCACUCCUUUUCUUCACUGCAUUUGUCACUCAUUGUUAUCGACGGUUGUGUUAAACCUAUCUUCUUCUCUGAACUAUAAUCUACUUCUUACAGAAUCAAAUUCAUUAUAACAUUCACACAGUUAUAUCAUGUUUAAUAAUUGUAAGUGUGUAUUCUAAAGAAUUGAUUAUACAGAAUACACAAAUAUACAGAUAAUGCAACAAAAUCUUUCAUCAUUAAUUACAUGAUUACAGUUUGGAAGAUAAUGACGAAAUAAAGUUGGUUGGGACCAAAGAAAAAAUGGAAAGAAAGGAAGCAGUUUGGUUGUGUUUAUGGAAGGAAGGAUUGUGGGAUUUAAUAUGUUCCUGGAUCUUUUCCUUUCUGUGGAUUGUGCGCUGUUUUUGUUAGCAAAGGAGUGUCUGUGUGUUUGGUUGUUGUGGUUUGAUUUGUUUGUGGAUGACGUGGUCUUCCUCCGUUGUGUUUUGUUGUGGCGAGUAGAACAGGAGUGGGUCUCCUUUGGGUGAUGGUUAUAGAAAAUUGCAUGGUAGAGUUGGACGAGGAAGGUGCAGGAAGAGGCAUUGAAAUGAGAGUGAAUUGAAUGCAGAAGAUGAAGAUGGUGGCAG
rnacentral:lncRNA from 1 species